rnacentral:ncRNA from 1 species
UUCGGUAAAUCACACUUAGCCCUGACACCUAAGUCUCCUGAUACGGUGUCCUGGCCGCAACCUCGCGUUGCCAGGGUGCAGAAAGAAAUGCCUGCAUCUCCCGAUUUGGAAGGUGUUCUGGUGUCACAAUU